UACGAAGGGGGGCUAGCGUUGUUCGGAAUCACUGGGCGUAAAGCGCACGUAGGCGGAUUCUUAAGUCAGGGGUGAAAUCCCGAGGCUCAACCUCGGAACUGCCUUUGAUACUGGGAAUCUUGAGUAUGGUAGAGGUUGGUGGAACAGCAAGUGUAGAGGUGAAAUUCGUAGAUAUUUGCUAGAACACCGGUGGCGAAGGCGGGUCUCUGGGCCGAUACUGACGCUGAGGAGCGAAAGCGUGGGGAGCGAACAGG
rnacentral:rRNA from 1 species